GGUUAUUCUCUAAUUUGUUAUUAUUGAAGAACAGCCCGUGCCAGUUCCGAACAGCAAACAUCAGUCUUUUGUUCUCUCAUUUUUUUUGAAACAAGCUGCUGUUCAAAGCUCAAUUCUCAAUUGCAACUCUCAGUUUCAAACCAAAAAUUGAGGAAAAAUAGUGAAUGGUCUCAACACUGUUUUCAGGAAUUACAAAGCUUCGUCUUUCACUGGAAGGAAAGUAAAUGGAAGAAGUUAAUGUGUACCAGUUGCAGGUCUCAAUUUGAGCACCACACCCUGGGACCACUCUCCAAACUCAAAGUCUGGAAGGAAAAGCU